UUGUAGGUCCCACCACUUCUCCUCAUCCCGUUCAUCUCUCUCUAGAGGCAGAGCGCACCCAUUUCAAAACCACAGUUCUCGUCGCCCGUCUCUUCUUCCAAAUCCUCCAACCCCCAAAUCAGGUUCUCGCACCAGUUGGGAUCCCGCGGGCGUAGCCGUGUUCGGUGAAUCCGUGGCCGAUUUUCCGCCGGAGUUGGAGCAACCACCAGUUCGGCGACCAGGGGCGUGCGACCACCAGUUGCGUGAGGCGUUUCCGGGAAGAGGAUAAGCGGAUGGUAGCCAGGUUGCGGUGCAACGAGGAGCAGGUCGGCGGGGGGAAGCAGUAGACGAGGCGCUUCAGGGGUGGAACAGCCGUCGCCAGCGCCGUGCCAUUGGUGCAGAGGGCAGAGUCAUGCUGAGGGCUACCAAUCCUUCCCUUCCGUAGUCCUUCAUCUGGUCUCUAUUUUCCCAUGUCCAAAUCGGUGAUUGCAUGGUGUAUGAUGUAGACCUCGUUAUGGUUGACGAUGUGGGGCAUUCAGUUCGCAAGGGGGUUGGCUAAUGGUGGGAGUUAGGGUUACAUUUUGGGUUGCUGUGGUGUGGGGAUGUCCAUGAGUGUUGGGUUAGGAUGCUCAUGACGGGGAUAGUUCAGCGGAGGUCAUUUUGUUGUUGUUUUGAGUUUCAGAUUCAUGCUUGUUUUUUGCUCUAAUUUUGUGAAUGACUUCCCCUGUAUGGAUUCAGAAGUUGCCAACGCACAUAAGUGAGUGAUUCUGUUACAGGUAGUAUGGCAUGGUUUUCUCCUUGUUUGAGCAACUUCAAAUCCAGAGGAAGUUAUUCACUUCAGGGAAUUUUUUGAGGUUAAUUUUGUCUGAAUUUGCAUGAUGUGGUUUUUAGUUUGCAUGGAUAUGCCUGAUAUGUGUAAACAAUGAAGUUAAUCCUCUGAUUUGAAAAUUUCUAUGUUACCUAAGUGCUGCUUAAUAUAGCAACAGAGAGAAAUUCAGUCCAUAUGGGGAGGGAGAGGGAGGGAGAUGUUCUCAUGCAUUGGUUGUAGAUCUGCUGAACCUACUAACAAGCCUGCUCAUAUGUUGCAUAUUUUGUGUUUUGACUUGCCCAACAACUGCUCAUAUGUUGCCUAGCACCUUGUUUUACAUUGCAACGAAUGUAUAUGUGUUGUUUGAACAAGGCAAUGUUUGAUGAUGUAGGGUCCUUUUUGAAAGUGUGUGUAUGAGGUGGGGUGCUGGGGUUACAUUUUUUUCAUUUUUUGCCUAGUAUUGUGAUUCAGUUGCAGAUCUGUCAUUUGCUUAAAGUUUUGUGAUUUAGUUGUCAGGCUUGCUCAAGUUCAAUGUGUCAGUUGCCUGACAUGCCCUCAGUUGUUGCCUAGUAUUCACGAUAUGUGUUUCUUUUUCAGGUGCCUGAUGCGCAACAGAUUUUCUUGCUGCUCAUGGUCAUGUUACUUAAGUUUGUAUUAAUGUUGUAACAUAGUGAAGAAGAAGAUAGUUUACAAUCCUUCCGUUGUCUACUUUUUUUGUAAAUUGCUUUUUGCUUAGUUUAGAAGGAAUUUAGUCACAUGACUUUGGUGGAUGAUAUACAGUUUUUUAUGAUGAUACUCAUUGUUUGUCCUUUAUAUACGCAACAGAAAACAGAUAGCCGAGACAAGUCAAAAGUCAAAACAGGAUGGACCUCCUGGAUCAAGUCAUGAUGACAUUGCAUCUCAUGGCAAUGAAGAGCAUCAAACAAAGCAAAUAAUUUGGUACAAGUGUCAGAGAACUAAAGCAAUUAUUGCACGGGGGCAACAUCCUGAUGAUAUUAUUACUAACGAGAAUAGUAACGAGAGCCAAGCUGCAGAUGCUGGAAAUGCAAAUGUGAAAGGUGCAGACGUGGACCAACCUCCAAAACCAAAACGCUAGAAGGCGGGAGGAACUGAGGGUCAUAGGAACAUGGCAUCCCCCGCAAGGCUCUUCAAGUUGAACAAGGAGUUGGUUCCUAACCAAAAGGGUGUCAUCAUUGCAACAGAAUUUGGAGGCAUUCUGGACCUUGAAGCAAGUAGCAUGCCUGGAGAUCUUAGCCAAUGGAUAAUGAAGCAUUAUGACCCUGAGAUUUCACAGAUAGUCAUUCCAGAAAGGGGGAAGAUUCUUGUAGAUGCCGCAAGUGUCCGUAGGAUAUGGGGCUUGCCAAAUAGGGGGAGGAAGGCGUGCUUUGAUAAUCAGCCUGAAAUCACAAAGGCAAUGUACAAUACUUACAAUAUCACCUCCAAGAACUCCUCAACUCUCACAGCAUGGUGCAAGAUGAUCAAAGAUAUCGGAGGAUCUUAUGAUGAUGACUUUGUCCGUGCUUGGCUAGUUCUUGUUUUUUCGUGCUUCCUUGCCCCUUCCACUAGUUUAAGUAUUUCCCCGAAAAACUUCCUGGCGGUCAUGGAUGUCAAUGGAAUAAUGGAAACCAAUAUAUGCCAGUUUGUUGUUGAUCAACUAAA